GAUGAACGCUGGCGGCGUGCCUAAUACAUGCAAGUCGAGCGAACAGACGAGGAGCUUGCUCCUCUGACGUUAGCGGCGGACGGGUGAGUAACACGUGGAUAACCUACCUAUAAGACUGGGAUAACUUCGGGAAACCGGAGCUAAUACCGGAUAAUAUAUUGAACCGCAUGGUUCAAUAGUGAAAGACGGUUUUGCUGUCACUUAUAGAUGGAUCCGCGCCGCAUUAGCUAGUUGGUAAGGUAACGGCUUACCAAGGCAACGAUGCGUAGCCGACCUGGGAGGGUGAGCGACAACGAAGACCUGGCGACACGGUCCAGCAUCCGCGGGACGAGAAAGGUAGGGACUCUACAGAAAUGGAUGAGCGCGUGCCGGGCACACGGCGGUUGGGUGAUGAAGGUCUUCGGUACGAAAGACGCUGUUAUUAGGAAACAAAAAUUGUGUAACUAAAACUUCACGUCUUCACGACACAAACCAAAACAGGCCGGGCUACAUCCGUGCCCGCAGCCGCGCGGACCACACCCCUCACC
rnacentral:rRNA from 1 species